rnacentral:rRNA from 1 species
CGAACGAGCACGGAUUCUUCGGAUGAAGUGCUGAGUGGCGGACGGGGAGUAACGCGUGGGUACCUGCCCUGUACAGGGGGAUAACAGCUGGAAACGGCUGCUAAUACCGCAUAAGGAGACAUCUCAAAAACUCCGGUGGUACAGGAUGGGCCCGCGUCUGAUUAGCUGGUUGGCAGGGUAACGGCCUACCAAGGCAACGAUCAGUAGCCGGUCUGAGAGGAUGAACGGCCACAUUGGAACUGAGACACGGUCCAAACUCCUACGGGAGGCAGCAGUGGGGAAUAUUGCACAAUGGGGGAAACCCUGAUGCAGCAACGCCGCGUGAGUGAAGAAGUAUUUCGGUAUGUAAAGCUCUAUCAGCAGGGAAGAUAAUGACGGUACCUGACUAAGAAGCUCCGGCUAAAUACGUGCCAGCAGCCGCGGUAAUACGUAUGGAGCAAGCGUUAUCCGGAUUUACUGGGUGUAAAGGGUGCGUAGGUGGCAGUGCAAGUCAGAUGUGAAAGGCCGGGGCUCAACCCCGGAGCUGCAUUUGAAACUGCUCGGCUAGAGUACAGGAG